AUCAUGACCUGAGCCAAUACCGAUACCAAAAGUUGGAUGCUCAACCGACGGAACCACCCAGGAGCUACACUAAGCGCCAGAGACACAGUAUUGCACAGGACAAACAUGUUUUCUGCCCUGCGUUGGAGAAAAGCAAUGUAGGGGCAAUCACAGAGAACUUUUUGAGGACAUCACACAUUUAUUUUGGUUGACAGUGUGUCUCCCCAAAGCUUAUUUGUAAUAGAAGUCUAUCCAUAUGGAUUUUGAUCAGGUAAGUUUGAUUACUAAUUAAGCCUGGGGAAAGAAGGAUAAAAAAAUAGAAAAGAGAUCAACUAUUGGUGAUAUGAUUAAGCAAAUGAGAAAAAUCUGAAGAAUAGUUAUUAAAGUUAGAAAUUUUAGAAUAUGAAAAUGCGAUUCUGGUUUAGACUUAUGUUUUAUCUAGCCACAAUUCUAUUUUUUUAAAUUAUUUUUUUAUGUUUAUUUUUGAGAGAGAGAUAGAGCAUGAGUGGGGGAGGGUCAGAGAGUAAGGGAGAUGCAGAAUCUGAA